rnacentral:rRNA from 1 species
UCGAAGGUGAUAACCAUCUUUCGGCGCCGCACUGUACUAAACUAACUAAAGUGGGGGAUAGUGAGGGGAUAAAUUUCCUUAAGGAACUCGGCAAAAUCCCAAUGGCCCACCAGGGCAUAUAUUGGAACACGGGCCUCGACUGUUUACCAAAAACAUAGCCCUCGGCCAAUAUGAAAAUAGAAGUAUGGAGGGUGAGGCCUGCCCAAUGGUUGUAUCUAAAAGCGGUUGAUAAAAGUCGACCGUGUAAGGACAAUUGAAUGGCCGCGGUAACACUGACCGUGAUAAUGUAGCGUAAUCAAUAGCCAAUUAAUUGUUGGCCAGUAUGAAUGGCGCCACGAAGGCCCCACUGUCUUAAGGAAAUUCCCAGUGAAAUUGAAUUCGUAGUGAAGAUGCUACGUCCAAUUUGUUAGACGAAAAGACCCCGUUGAGCUUUACUGGGGCACUUACACGGCCCCGGCCUUCAAAACUGGGUUGAUAAGCCAAGGCUUACCAUACCUAGGGACCGGCCGAAUUUAAAUGGGCGGCUUAGACUAUGUGGCAGCCCCCCCCGUCGGGGCAGAUGAAACCCCACUCCCCCAUGUCAAAGGGGCUAACCCCCCCCCUUGGGGGGGACAGUGUAAGUAGGACAGUUUGGUUGGGGCGACCGCCUUUUAGAGAGUAACGAAGGUGCGCUUAAGGUGCGUAAUUAAUGACUGAAGCCUGACUGCGAGGGGGACACCCCGAGCAGACACCCCCAAGCCCGCCCUCGCCUUCGUACCAACGGAGGGAGGGCGGCGGUGGGGUGGGCCAUAGUGACCCGUUAAUUUAGAGUGGAAUAGUUAACGAUCAACGAAUAAAAGUUACCACGGGG